rnacentral:rRNA from 1 species
UACGGAGGGUGCGAGCGUUGUCCGGAAUCACUGGGCGUAAAGGGCGCGUAGGUGGCCGAGCAAGGUCGCGGUGAAAGCCCGGGGCUCAACCCCGGGUCGGCCGUGGCAACUACUGGGCUGGAGCACUGUAGGGGCGGGUGGAAUUCCGGGUGUAGCGGUGGAAUGCGUAGAGAUCCGGAAAAACACCGGUGGCGAAGGCGGCCCGCUGGGCAGUUGCUGACACUGAGGCGCGACAGCGUGGGGAGCAAACAGG